UUAAAUUAAUUGUCAAGCAUUAGUGAUAGUAUGAAGAAAUGGGCAUGCUCUUGUCUUAUAAAUUGGCAUUCCUUUUCUGGAGAGAAAUUUGGCAACAGAAAAAUAAAGCCUGAAAAAUACACAUAUCCAUUGACCUACCAGCGACAUUUCUAGAAAUUUAUCUGAAGGAUAUAAUCAGGAUGUGAACAAAUAUUUAUUUAUGGAGUGUUUAUCACAAUUAAAACAGAUUAC
rnacentral:lncRNA from 10 species